CACGUAGGGCGCAAGCGUUGUCCGGAAUUAUUGGGCGUAAAGAGCUCGUAGGCGGUCUGUUGCGUCCGCUGUGAAAACUCGGGGCUUAACCCCGAGCCUGCAGUGGAUACGGGCAGACUAGAGGUAGGUAGGGGAGAAUGGAAUUCCCGGUGUAGCGGUGGAAUGCGCAGAUAUCAGGAAGAACACCCGUGGCGAAGGCGGCUCUCUGGGACGGUACUGACGCUGAGGCGCGAAAGCGUGGGGAGCAAACAGG
rnacentral:rRNA from 1 species